GGACUACAGGGGUUUCUAAUCCUGUUCGCUCCCCUAGCUUUCGCGCCUCAGCGUCAGUUAUGGCCCAGAGUGCCGCCUUCGCCACUGGUGUUCCUCCCAAUAUCUGCGCAUUUCACCGCUACACUGGGAAUUCCACACUCCUCUACCAAACUCAAGCCCGCCAGUUCGAGAUGCAGGCCGCGGGUUGAGCCCCCGGUUUUCACAUCUCGCUUAACAAGCCGCCUACGCGCUCUUUACGCCCAAUGAAUCCGGAUAACGCUCGCCCCCUACGUAUUACCGCGGCUGCUGGCAC
rnacentral:misc_RNA from 1 species